GGCCUACGGGAGGCAGCAGUCGAGAAUCAUUCACAAUGGGGGAAACCCUGAUGCAGCGACGCCGCGUGAGUGAAGAAGUAUUUCGGUAUGUAAAGCUCUAUCAGCAGGGAAGAGAAUGACGGUACCUGAGUAAGAAGCCCCGGCUAACUACGUGCCAGCAGCCGCGGUAAUACGUAGGGGGCAAGCGUUAUCCGGAUUUACUGGGUGUAAAGGGAGCGUAGACGGCGAAGAAAGUCUGAAGUGAAAGCCCGCGGCUCAACCGCGGAACUGCUUUGGAAACUUUUUUGCUGGAGUACCGGAGAGGG
rnacentral:rRNA from 1 species